rnacentral:rRNA from 1 species
UACGUAGGGGGGCUAGCGUUGUCCGGAAUCAUUGGGCGUAAAGCGCGCGUAGGCGGCCAGAUAAGUCCGGUGUGAAAGUCACAGGCUCAACCUGUGAAUGCCGCUGGAAACUGUCUGGCUAGAGUCCGGGAGAGGUGAGUGGAACUGCGAGUGUAGAGGUGAAAUUCGUAGAUAUUCGCAAGAACACCAGUGGCGAAGGCGGCUCACUGGCUCGAUACUGACGCUGAGGUGCGAAAGCGUGGGGAGCAAACAGG